rnacentral:rRNA from 1 species
GUAGGUGGCAAGCGUUGUCCGGGAAUUAUUGGGGCGUAAAGCGCGCGCAGGCGGUUCUUUAAGUCUGAUGUGAAAGCCCACGGGCUCAACCGUGGAGGGUCAUUGGAAACUGGAGAACUUGAGUACAGAAGAGGAAAGCGGAAUUCCACGUGUAGCGGUGAAAUGCGUAGAGAUGUGGAGGAACACCAGUGGCGAAGGCGGCUUUCUGGUCUGUAACUGACGCUGAGGCGCGAAAGCGUGGGGAGCAAACAGGAUUAGAUACCCUGUAGUCCACGCCGUAAACGAUGAGUGCUAAGUGUUAGGGGGUUUCCGCCCCUUAGUGCUGCAGCUAACGCAUUAAGCACUCCGCCUGGGGAGUACGGCCGCAAAGGCUG